rnacentral:lncRNA from 1 species
GGAGCCCCAUCCCAGAUCACACCCUUGAGCCUGAGCCCGACCCGCAUUAUCCUGAGUCCCUGAUCCAGUACCGAGGACCUGGCUGGGCCCUGGGCACGCACAGGGGCCGUAG